AUUUGGCGGACGGGUGAGUAACACGUGGGAACCUGCCCGAGAGUGGGGAAUAACUCCUCGAAAGAGGAGCUAAUACCGCAUACGGUCGAAAGACUAAAGGAGCAAUCCGCUUUCGGAGGGGCCUGCGGCUGAUUAGCUAGUUGGUGGGGUAAAGGCCUACCAAGGCAGUGAUCAGUAGCUGGUCUGAGAGGAUGGUCAGCCACACUGGGACUGAGAUACGGCCCAGACUCCUACGGGAGGCAGCAGUGGGGAAUAUUGGGCAAUGGGGGCAACCCUGACCCAGCAACGCCGCGUGAAGGAAGAAGGCCUUCGGGUUGUAAACUUCUUUGACCAGGGACGAAACAAAUGACGAUACCUGGAAAACAAGCCACGGCUAACUACGUGCCAGCAGCCGCGGUAAU
rnacentral:rRNA from 1 species